GCGGCAAUAACUCAGUGGCAGAGCCCCCGCUUCGCGUGCGGGGAGACCCGGGUUCGAUUCCCGGCUGCUUCC
rnacentral:tRNA from 1 species